rnacentral:rRNA from 1 species
CCCCUAGACGUUCUGGGCUGCACGCGCGCUACAAUAAUACGCACAGCGAGUAUCACCGAGCUCGAAAGGGCAAGGUAAACAAUAGAAAAGGUACUGUAAUGGUUAUAGAUCCUUGUAAUUAUUGAUCUUCAACGAGGAAUUCCUAGUAAGUAUGUGUCAUCAUCACGCACUGAUUACGUCCCUGCCCUUUGUACACACCGCCCGUCGCUCCUACCGAUUGAGUGAGCCGAUGAAACUGCCGGAUGUGGGCUAUUCAUAGUCUGCAGAAGAUAUUUGAAUCGUAGCGCUUAGAGGAAGGAGAAGUCGUAACA